rnacentral:lncRNA from 1 species
CAGAAGACCUCAGUGCCUCCCUUCAACCUAAGAGAGCUGCUCCCCAAACAGCUGGGGCAGUACUUCCGCUACAAUGGCUCGCUCACAACUCCCCCUUGCUACCAGAGUGUGCUCUGGACAGUUUUUUAUAGAAGGUCCCAGAUUUCAAUGGAACAGCUGGAAAAGCUUCAGGGGACAUUGUUCUCCACAGAAGAGGAGCCCUCUAAGCUUCUGGUACAGAACUACCGAGCCCUUCAGCCUCUCAAUCAGCGCAUGGUCUUUGCUUCUUUCAUCCAAGGAUCCUCGUAUACCACAGGAAGAAGAGGCUGGAAAACCGAAAGAGUGUGGUCUUCACCUCAGCACAAGCCACGACUGAGGCAUAAAUUCCUUCUCAGAUACCAUGGAUGUGGAUGACUUCCCUUCAUGCCUAUCAGGAAGCCUCUAAAAUGGGGUGUAGGAUCUGGCCAGAAACACUGUAGGAGUAGUAAGCAGAUGUCCUCCUUCCCCUGGACAUCUCCUAGAGAGGAAUGGACCCAGGCUGUCAUUCCAGGAAGAACUGCAGAGCCUUCAGCCUCUCCAAACAUGUAGGAGGAAAUGAGGAAAUCGCUGUGUUGU